GAGAUCAGUAUCAGAUGGCUGGAUGCUCUCAAAUACUCCAAUGACCUCACCGGUCUCUGGCUUGCACUGGGUAACACUCAGGGUGAUCUUUCCUGUAGAAGAUGCAGUAUUCUUUACGUUCUCCUUCUCAAGCUCCUCCUCGUCUCCUCUCCCUCCAGCAGGCAAUGCAACAGCGUUGUCAUAGCCAGUAGAUCCACCCCGUCCCUUUGGGUCAAGGAAGGAUGAACCUCUGUAUGAUGGCACAAGGAAUUCACCGCUAAAGCUUUCUGGUUUGCCGCUUGCCACUAGCUGUUUGAUAGUGAAGAGGAAGGGCACACGCUCACCACCAGGAAGCUGAACUGUAACAGCAGCAUAAUCAAUUCCAUCCUUCUCCUCAAACUUAACAGUGCCAUCAGAAGACACUUCGAAUGGUCCCUCAAUCUCAUCAAGGGUGUAGGUUAAGCGUGUCAUGAGCUUGGUUUUCUGGAAAUCUGGGGGUGCAUUCUUGUUCACACUCUC
rnacentral:lncRNA from 1 species